rnacentral:rRNA from 1 species
UACAGAGGUCUCAAGCGUUGUUCGGAUUCAUUGGGCGUAAAGGGUGCGUAGGUGGCGCCGUAAGUCAGGUGUGAAAUUUCGGAGCUUAACUCCGAAACUGCAUUUGAUACUGCGGUGCUUGAGGACUGGAGAGGAGACUGGAAUUUAACGGUGUAGCAGUGAAAUGCGUAGAGAUCGUAAGGAAGACCAGUGGCGAAGGCGGGUCUCUGGACAAGUUCCUGACAGCUG